rnacentral:rRNA from 1 species
UGAUGACGAGACGCUAAGGCGUUGAAGCAGUGUAUGUCAGACUUCCAAGAAAAGCUCGCAAUGUCACAAAUAAAAAUGCCUGUACCAUAACCGACACAGGUGGGUAGGUAGAGUAUACUAAGGGGCGCGAGAUAACUCUCUCUAAGGAACUCGGCAAAAUGACUCCGUAACUUCGGGAGAAGGAGUGCCUUAUUUAUAAGGUUGCAAUAACAAGAUCCAAGCAACUGUUUAUCAAAAACACAGGUCUCCGCUAAGUCGUAAGACGAUGUAUGGGGGCUGACGCCUGCCCAGUGCCAGAAGGUUAAAGAAGUUGGUUAGUGUAUGCGAAGCUGAUGACUGAAGCCCUGGUGAACGGCGGCCGUAACGAUAACGGUCCUAAGGUAGCGAAAUUCCUUGUCGGGUAAGUUCCGACCCGCACGAAAGGCGUAAUGAUUUGGAUACUGUCUCGGAGAGAGGCUCGGUGAAAUAGACUUGUCUGUGAAGAUGCGGACUACCUGCACCAGGACAGAAAGACCCUAUGAAGCUUUACUGUAACUUGAGAUUGGAAUUGGACUUUGCUUGCGCAGUAUAGGUGGGAAGCGUUGAAAAUAUUCUUGCGGGAGUAUUGGAGCUAUCAGUGAGAUACCACUCUUGUAAUGUUAGAUUUCUAACUUUGAACCAUAAUCUGGUCAAAGAACAGUUUCAGGUGGGCAGUUUGACUGGGGCGGUCGCCUCCCAAAUGGUAACGGAGGCGUACAAAGGUUUCCUCUGAACGGAUAGAAAUCGUAUCUAGAGUGUAAAGGCAUAAGGAAGCUUGACUGUGAGACCUACAAGUCGAGCAGGGACGAAAGUCGGUCUUAGUGAUCUGACGGUACUGAGUGGAAAGGCCGUCACUCAACGGAUAAAAGUUACUCUAGGAUAACAGGCUGAUCUCCCCCAAGAGUUCACAUCGACGGGGAGGUUUGGCACCUCGAUGUCGGCUCAUCGCAUCCUGGGGCGGUAGUACGUCCCAAGGGUUGGGCUGCUCGCCCAUGAAAGCGGUACGCGAGCUGGGUUCAGAACGUCGUGAGACAGUUCGGUCCAUAUCCGGUGUAGGCGCUAGAAUAUUGAGAGGAGCCUUCUUUAGUACGAGAGGACCGAGAAGGACACACCGCUGGUGUACCAGUUAUCGUGCCAACGGUAAACGCUGGGUAGCUAUGUGUGGAGUGGAUAACCGCUGAAAGCAUCUAAGUGGGAAGCCCACCUCGAGAUGAGUAUUCGC